CGGCUGGGGGCUUUAUUAGGGGGCACCGGGGUCUGCUUUCCGACUCCCUUCCGACUCCGCGCCUGCGCAGGAAGCGAUUUGGGGAGUGUUGUGAAUUCCGAGGGCUCCACACUUAAGAGGUUGUACACUCACCUGUCUACCUGGACUCCAAUUUCCAUAUUUCCAGCCACUUGAGGACUGAGAGGUGGAUGAUAAACCCUGUCAUAGUGGAGCAAGUUCAGGUGUUUAACCGCUGUUAUGGGGGAUCUGCCUUUUCUCCCUCUUCUUUCUUACUUCCAUAAGUAUGUAUGUGCAGAGAUUGAAAAAUAACCUUGAGAGAGUCCAUCCAUCUAACUCCAGGCAGAAUAGUUGCCUACUGCCCCAACCCCACCAAAUGUUCCAGCACCUCUGAUAUUACCUCACAUGGCAAGAGGGCUUUGAAGAUGUGAUUGAGUCAAGGAUCUUGAAUGGGGAGAUUAUCCUGAAUUAUUCAGCUGGACCCAGUGUAAUCACAAAGGUUUUUCAAAGAUGGAAGAGAGGCAGAAGAGCCAGAAAAGGAUAUGUGACAAUGGAGUCAGUGUCAGAGUUGGAGUGACGUGAUGUGAGAAGGAUUCAACCUGCUGUUUCUGGCUUUGAGGAUGAAAGAAGGGGCCAUGAGCCAAGCAAUACAGGUGGCUUCUUUCAAGAAGUUGGAAAAGAAGAGAAAAUAGUGCCAAUAAUUCUUCAUGGAGAUGCACCUCUCUCAAGUCUUGAACAAUGUUUGAGGAAAAGUGCUUUCAGCUGGGCUGAUGAGAACACCUUGGCACUCUUUCCUGCAAUGGGCACUGAUUGAGGGUCUUCCUGGUGUGGCAUCAUCAAAUCCCUGUUGCUCAAACCCACUAAUUAGCUCAUUCUUAUCUACAAGUAGCAGGGGCCCUAAAGCUCUCUGAGAAGAUCUCAUACUGUGUCUCCUACAUUUCAUCUUCUAUAAUCUCUUAUUCUUAGAGACAGAAAGAUGGUUAAAAGACAUCACUUCAUUUCUUUCUCUGGAUUUGGAAAGAGUUAUAUAUUGGGAUUAUGCUGUUAGUUUACACUUGCAUUGUUUAAAUUAGAGGAAAGGUUAUUUUGUGCAGAACAAAUAAAAAUUACUCUUUAACUACCUUUCAGAAUAUCCCAACUUUUAACAUAAGCUGUUUUGUAAAGGCUGGUUGUAGUGACUUGCUUCAUAAUAGACUAUUAAAAUAAGAUGCAUUGAAA
rnacentral:lncRNA from 1 species